AGAGUGUAAUUCAGCCAAGGAUGACUUGCCGGAAGCACUGAUUAUACGGUCCGGCAAGUUGUUUCUUGGCUACAUUGUACUCUUU
rnacentral:pre_miRNA from 1 species